AGCAGCCGCGGUAAUUCCAGCUCCAAUAGCGUAUAUUAAAGUUGUUGCAGUUAAAAAGCUCGUAGUUGAAUUUCGGGGUUAGUAGGUCGGUCAUGCCACUGGUAUGUACUGGUCUCACUGAUUCCUCCUUCCUGAUGAACCGUAAUGCCAUUAAUUUGGUGUUGCGGGGAGACUGACUGUUACUUUGAAAAAAUUGAGUGUUUAAAGCAGGCUAACGCUUGAAUACAUUAGCAUGGAAUAAUGAAAUAGGACGUUCGAUCCUAUUUUGUUGGUUUCUAGGAUUGACGUAAUGAUUAAUAGGGAUAGUUGGGGGCAUUAGUAUUCAAUUGUCAGAGGUGAAAUUCUUGGAUUUAUUGAAGACUAACUACUGCGAAAGCAUUUGCCAAGGAUGUUUUCAUUAAUCAAGAACGAAAGUUAGGGAUCGAAGACGAUCAGAUACCGUCGUAGUCUUAACCAUAAACUAUGCCGACUAGGGAUCGGAUGAUGUUAAUUUUUAUGUACUUCAUUCGGCGCCUUACGG
rnacentral:rRNA from 1 species